rnacentral:rRNA from 1 species
GUGUUCAAUUCUGUUUGAUCCUGGCAGAUGCUACUGCUAUUGGGAUUCGAUUAAGCCAUGCAAGUCGAACGAGUUUAGGCUCGUGGCGUACGGCUCAGUAACACGUGGAUAACCUACCCUUAGGACUGGGAUAACUUUGGGAAACUGAGGAUAAUA